rnacentral:snRNA from 1 species
GAACUUUCUUCUCACCCUUGAA